rnacentral:rRNA from 1 species
UACGUAGGUGACCAGCGUUGUCCGGAUUUACUGGGCGUAAAGAGCGCGCAGGCGGUCGUUCAAGUCGAGUGUGAAAGCCCCCGGCUCAACUGGGGAGGGUCACUCGAUACUGAUCGACUUGAAGGCAGGAGAGGGAAGCGGAAUUCCCGGUGUAGUGGUGAAAUGCGUAGAUAUCGGGAGGAACACCAGUGGCGAAGGCGGGUCUCUGGACAGUUCCUGACGCUGAGGCACGAAGGUCAGGGGAGCAAACGGG